CAAUAAAACAAUAAUAAAUUACCAACUUCAUUUAUUUUGUUGCCUAGUUUGUUUUGUAAUUAUCCAAUGAUGGUGGUUGCAAGGAUGGUCCCUGGGUUUCAUUUUGCGUGUUUGUUUCAGGAGUGGUAAACACCUGGGGCUUGAAACUUUCUCUGUGAAGGGCUGAACACAAACACAGGGCAGCAUGCCUGCACGGCUUGCACGGCUAGGGAAGGGACAGCGGGGUGCUGUGUGUGGGGCUGCUUCGGGUGAGUCGCCCCUGGUCAAGGCCGCGGCUCACGGGUGGGCAGGCCCUGGGUGCCCUGUGGGAGGGGAGGCCGAGAAGCUGGGACGUGGAGCCAGCAGGGAGAGGAGCUGUGGGCCCAGACCGGAGUGGGCCGAUUUUAUUCUACAUAUCUUCUUUGGGAUGUGCAGAAGGCCCUACAAUGCUAUCUGGAGACAUUGUGUGCCAGAAAUUGCCUUGAGAGAAUUUUCUUCUAUGCUUUAUCCUGAACUGUUUAUAUGGCUGUUCAACGCUCUUCCAGCAACUAUUAAAGGAAGCUUGUGCUCAUGCGGUGUCCUGUGAAUGUGACUUGAUGAACAUACCUACCAGAAAAUAAGCUGGGGUAAAGCAGAUGCUGCCCUGGAGAAAAUCCAGACUGUGUGAGAGUGGCAUUUUGCUUUGCUUUCCAUAGAAAAAUUGUAGUUGCUCAGAUAUAAAUUAACCUUACAAUAUUGGCCUCCUCUUGUUACACUUUGUUCAUUUGAAAUCAUAGUCAGACAUCAUGAAGGGAUUUAAUUUUUUUGCAACUCCUGGUCUAGGUUCCCUGUUAUUUAUUUAUUUAUUUCCCCCCCCCAGAAAUCAUUUUCAGCCUUCUUCACCCAAACUAGUGACAGGAAGCCAGGUGAAGCUCUCCUGCCUGCUACGUGUAUGUUCAGAGGGAUGCUUUGGCCUGACAUGAUGCGCGAUGGCAAUUCUCGUCCGGAAGCCCCGUGGCCCCAGCAGCAGUGCAGCUCGGCUGCUGGCGAGAGGUGCUGGGGCUGCAGGGCUGAGGGAGCCGCGACCCCAGGCACGCCGCCCCACGCCAGCCCACUGCCACUGGCUGCUGCCCACUGAGCCGGCGCUGGUGGGGCCUGCUGCUGAGCUGCUAUGCUGUGCUGGAGAUUGCCAAAACUGUGUUACCCACGCUCUUUAAUUACUUUGGCUUUCACAGGUAAGAUAAUUCAGGGUAGCUGAGCUGCCUCUUUGUAUCCAGCUGGGGUGGUCAUGUUCUCUUCCAUCAACUGGCACAACGCGACUCAGUUUUCUUGGUUAAAGUGGUAUUUAAAGGAUGACCUAAGCUAUUGGGCAGCAUUUUUGCUUGAGGCUGUUGAACCGUGGCCACUUUUCCAUGGUAGGUGUUGGAAGUUCAGGUGGUUUUUCAAAUCACACAAAUUGAAAGUUCUAAAAUUAACACUUUGCUGUUGUUUUCUCCUCAUCAAUAGAACUGGCCUGAAGAAAAGUGGAAAUUUUGUAAAAAUGUUCCAAACCUACGGGGUUUU
rnacentral:lncRNA from 1 species